GCCGGGAUGGCGGAGUCUGGCCAACGCGCGGGCCUCGAGAGCCCGUGCCCUUCGGGGCAUGUGGGUUCAAAUCCCACUCCCGGCG
rnacentral:tRNA from 1 species